CCCUUUGAUACUCUGGGCGGCACGCGCGCUACAAUGGAUGAUAUAACGUGUUACUUAAUCGAAAGAUUAUGUGAAUCACAAAUAUCACGUCUUGAGUGGGAUAGUUUAUUGCAACUACAAACUUGAACUAGGAAUCCCUUGUAGGUACACUGAAGCAUAGUGUACCGAAUACGUCCCUGCCGUUUGUACACACCGCCCGUCGUUUCUUCCGACUGAUACUCAUUGUGAAUUACGAGGAGAUGUAAAUCAAAUCGUUGUAAAUGCUGGGUAUUGGAGGAAGAAAAAGUCGUAACA
rnacentral:rRNA from 1 species